rnacentral:rRNA from 1 species
GACGUAGGUGGCAAGCGUUAUCCGGAAUCACUGGGUGUAAAACGUGGGUAGGUGGUAUAGCAAGUCAAAUGUGAAAUACUAUGGCUCAACCGGAGGGCUGCCUGUGAAACUGCUUUACUAGAGUAGAGGAGAGGUGGAAGGAAUUCCCGGAGUACCGGUGAAAUGGGUAGAUAUAGGGAGGAACACCAGUGGCGAAAGCGGUUUACUGGCACCUAACUGACACUGAGGGACGAAAGCUUGGGGAGCAAACAGG